rnacentral:lncRNA from 1 species
AUGGGAGACAAGUCCCUGGGCAGGAGGGUGUGUUCAGAGAAGGGAGGGCAGAGCUGCAGAACUCCCCAGACUCCGCUGAUGAAGCACGGAGGGAAGAUUGUGGUCUAUGAGGCGAUUUGGCAGAGGGCAGGAGAGGAACAGUCGUCACUUCCAGCCCUGUCCUGCCUCUGGCAGUCACCAACCACUCCUGGCCCCAAGGACUCCUCUUUCCAGGACUUCAUUUGUGUGAAUGAAUGCCGUACCAUGUGACCCUGAGGGCACCUGUGUUUCCAAGUUCACCUCUUGGCAGUGCAGCGUCGUUUUCAACCUGGCUCUUUCCACAGCAGAGUGGCUCAUCUUGUUUAUUCUCCAAUCCUGUACAGACCCAGCCAUGACACCAUGUGGCUGAGUAGCUAGUGUUCUUGUGAAUAUUUGUGCACAUGUGAGUGGGUGAGCUUGUGAGUCCCCAGUGGCUGUGCCUAUGCUAUGUCCCUAGCUCUUGCCACUUCAUCUCAUGAGGGAUUCUCUUGGAGUUGGCCCCAGACUCCUAGGAAGCCAACCCUCCUGCAGGUGAAGCCUUCUGAUGAGUCCCCAAAGCAGUCUAUGAGUGCCAGCCACGUCCUCCACGGUCUCUUGGAUAGAGAACGUGUCUGAGAGCCCUUGUGAAGCCCCACCCCACUCCUGUGCCCGUCUCGGCAAUGAGCACGAGGUCUUUUAAGUGGUUUAAGAAAGCACGGAGGCUUAAUGUAUUACAGGAGUAUAAUUGUAUUUUUAUUGCUCAUUACAUUCCGAGUUAAUUACAUAGCAACUGAGUUUGUGCUGUGCGACAUUGCCUGAGCCAGCCUGUGCGCCCCUGGUCUCAGGUGGGCUUUAGCACACACACUGCAGCCUCCAGUGUCGUCAGAGCUGGAACUCAAUCCUAGAGCCAUGCGGUCUGAAUGAAAGGGACCCCAGAUAUGGAGGGGCAAACGUACCGGGACAGGCCUUGACUUCUGGGCCACCUUCCUUGCCACGUCUCCAUGACCUUGCCUCAUCCUUGCUGGCUUACCACCUCUCAUGCCUCAGUUUCCCUUCUGGGACUAACUUAGGGUAUUUUCAGUGGAGGGGCAGAGCGUCUGCAUUUUGACUGAGGAAAUCGGGUGUGACAUGGAUUCCAAGACUGGGGACACAGACAGGGAAACACAAACGUUAGGGUACACCCUUGAAUGAAGAAUAGUCCCCUCAUCCCAGGGGUCCAGAUACCAGACAUCUGUGGAGGCACCCAGCAGUG